rnacentral:rRNA from 1 species
GAGGAAUUUUCCGCAAUGGGCGCAAGCCUGAUCCAGCCAUGCCGCGUGCAGGAUGAAGGCCUUCGGGUUGUAAACUGCUUUUGUACGGAACGAAAAGGUCUGUCCUAAUACGAUGGGCCCAUGACGGUACCGUAAGAAUAAGUACCGGCUAACUACGUGCCAGCAGCCGCGGUAAUACGUAGGGUGCGAGCGUUAAUCGGAAUUACUGGGCGUAAAGCGUGCGCAGGCGGUGAUGUAAGACAGAUGUGAAAUCCCCGGGCUCAACCUGGGAACUGCAUUUGUGACUGCAUCGCUGGAGUGCAGCAGAGGGGGAUGGAAUUCCGCGUGUAGCAGUGAAAUGCGUAGAUAUGCGGAGGAACACCGAUGGCGAAGGCAAUCCCCUGGGCCUGCGCUGACGCUCAUGCACGAAAGCGUGGGGAGCAAA